UACAGAGGGGGGCGAGCGUUGUUCGGAAUUACUGGGCGUAAAGGGCGCGUAGGCGGCCUUCUAAGUCGAACGUGAAAUCCCCGGGCUCAACCCCGGAACUGCAUUCGAUACUGGCGGGCUUGAGACCGGAAGAGGUGGGUGGAAUACCCAGUGUAGAGGUGAAAUUCGUAGAUAUUGGGUGGAACACCGGUGGCGAAGGCGGCUCACUGGUCCGGUUCUGACGCUGAGGCGCGAAAGCGUGGGGAGCAAACAGG
rnacentral:rRNA from 1 species